CGUGCCUCUUGCUACGGAAUAGCCUCGGGAAACUGGGAGUAAUACCGUAUGUGCCCUACGGGGGAAAGAUUUAUCGGCAAGAGAUCGGCCCGCGUUGGAUUAGGUAGUUGGUGGGGUAAUGGCCUACCAAGCCGACGAUCCAUAGCUGGUUUGAGAGGAUGAUCAGCCACACUGGGACUGAGACACGGCCCAGACUCCUACGGGAGGCAGCAGUGGGGAAUCUUAGACAAUGGGCGCAAGCCUGAUCUAGCCAUGCCGCGUGAGCGAUGAAGGCCUUAGGGUUGUAAAGCUCUUUCAGUGGGGAAGAUAAUGACUGUACCCACAGAAGAAGCCCCGGCUAACUCCGUG
rnacentral:rRNA from 1 species